AAUGCGAGCGGCGUGAGAAAAACUAUAAAAGAUUAAAAAAAAAGACGGCCUGAAAAUCAGGGACGGUGGUCGCACUGGACACUUUUCAUUGUUGUUAACACUCGCUUUCACUUCAGGUCUUUCAGUGUUAUAACUUCGCACUUUUCCGCAGCUGGCUGACGGACCACAACAACUCUUGAAUGAGUCAGCUGAUUACGAGACGGUCACGUGUUUCAAGUGGGUUCCCGGAAGUCCUUAACGGGUCUCGUCUUUCUGGUACGUUACACAACAAACCAAGAGGUCAAAGUAAUGCUGGGACAAAACACCACACUUGACAACCCCCUAUCAGCAAGCACUAAGCAAAAGUGGGAAAGAAAAACUCCCUUUUAACAGGAAGAAACCUCCAGCAGACCCAGGCUCACCCCCAACAUCUGCUGCAGCUCUUUAGAGUGAGGAUGGCAGGUUUUCCCCAGAGAAG